rnacentral:misc_RNA from 1 species
AAGUCGUAACAAGGUUUCCGUAGGUGAACCUGCGGAAGGAUCAUUAACGAGUUUUGAAACGAGUUGUAGCUGGCCUUCCCGAGGCAUGUGCACGCUCUGCUCAUCCACUCUACCCCUGUGCACUUACUGUAGGUUGGCGUGGGCUCCUUAACGGGAGCAUUCUGCCGGCCUAUGUAUACUACAAACACUUUAAAGUAUCAGAAUGUAAACGCGUCUAACGCAUCUAUAAUACAA